UCGACGAUGAAUCUUCUAGCUUGCUAGAAGUGGAUUAGUGGCGCACGGGUGAGUAAUGCAUAGGUUAUGUGCCCUUUAGUCUGGGAUAGCCACUGGAAACGGUGAUUAAUACUGGAUACUCCCUACGGGGGAAAGUUUUUCGCUAAAGGAUCAGCCUAUGUCCUAUCAGCUUGUUGGUGAGGUAAUGGCUCACCAAGGCUAUGACGGGUAUCCGGCCUGAGAGGGUGAUCGGACACACUGGAACUGAGACACGGUCCAGACUCCUACGGGAGGCAGCAGUAGGGAAUAUUGCUCAGUGGGGGAAACCCUGAAGCAGCAACGCCGCGUGGAGGAUGAAGGUUUUAGGAUUGUAAACUCCUUUUGUUAGAGAAGAUUAUGACGGUAUCUAACGAAUAAGCACCGGCUAACUCCGUGCCAGCAGCCGCGGUAAUACGGAGGGUGCAAGCGUUACUCGGAAUCACUGGGCGUAAAGAGUGCGUAGGCGGGGUAAUAAGUCAGAUGUGAAAUCCUGUAGCUUAACUACAGAACUGCAUUUGAAACUGUUACUCUGGAGUGUGGGAGAGGUAGGUGGAAUUCUUGGUGUAGGGGUAAAAUCCGUAGAGAUCAAGAGGAAUACUCAUUGCGAAGGCGACCUGCUGGAACAUUACUGACGCUGAUGCACGAAAGCGUGGGGAGCAAACAGGAUUAGAUACCCUGGUAGUCCACGCCCUAAACGAUGGAUGCUAGUUGUUGCCUUGCUUGUCAGGGCAGUAAUGCAGCUAACGCAUUAAGCAUCCCGCCUGGGGAGUACGGUCGCAAGAUUAAAACUCAAAGGAAUAGACGGGGACCCGCACAAGCGGUGGAGCAUGUGGUUUAAUUCGAAGAUACGCGAAGAACCUUACCUAGGCUUGACA
rnacentral:rRNA from 1 species